CUUUUGCUACGUGGCCCACUGGGAUUGGCUGAGCUUGGGAGUGCUUCCGCAUUUGGUGACCUAUCUGCUUUUGCUACAUGGCCCAUUGAGAUUGGCUAAGCUUGAGAGUUCUUAACGGCCGAGGGUGUUGCCCUGGGGGUUAGAAGUUUGUUCAAGGUUCCUGAAUAAACCACCAAAAGAAGAGCUCAUGGGUCGCGUCUUUCUUGCUGGUCAAGGCAGACCCGACAGUCUGGCUCCAAUGAACUCUUUCUUCUAGGGGAAACUGGGAAAGGAGAUAUCAUAUGACAUAGACCCUGGUGGUAUGAGCGCUCACUGUCCAACCUGAGGUAAUGAACCAACCAAUCAGAGCUGAUAGGCUUUCACUGGUAAGAAACCUUCAUCAACAUUGCCAUAAUUAAGUAUUCGAAGUGAGCAUCUGUAGGGAGCAGCUAGAAAAUCAUCAGUCAGUUCUGACAUACUGUUGCCAAAGACAAGUAACCUGAAUCGCAUAGCUACAAUCACGCUGAGGGACCCCAAAUGGAACGACUGUCACAUUCACAAAUGUCAGGGCUGCAGAAGUCACGGAAAGCCAAAGAAUCACAUCAGGCGGAAGGAGGGGAAACAGAAGAAGUAACAGAAAAAAAGAUGGAGAAAUACCUUCACUCACAAGUGAGAGGGAGCAAGAGUCCAAGGAGUUUGCAGAGGGCUUGGG